GAGUGGAGGCCAGGCUAAGGGUCACAGGCCAUGGGCAUACAGCAAACUACAGUGUGAGGCUAAGUCAAUGAGGGCUGCUGGUGCUGGUGCUCCCACUAUGAGUUCCUCAGUCCAAACUGGCUAUGAGUAGGAGCAGCUCACAAAAGGCACUGCCGUUGAGGCCUUUCAGACCCAACUUGCUCUUGACAAGGGCACUACUGCUCUUGAGUUGUUUGAAGCAGACUUGGUACUUGUGCAGCCUCUCCUCUUGGCUGGUGUCCACACCUACAGAGGGCGGGACUGCCAAAAUGCCAGUGAUAGGGCCAGAAACGGCUGCAGAAUCAGUUUCAGGGAGGUGCACCCAGUCUGGACAUACGCUCAUACUUAAUCUGUAGAAGUUUCUCCAUCUGUGGAAGCAAGGCGGUGCACAGGUUCAGCUUCCACAGGGAAGCUUUCUUUUGACAAUGUACAGGAGAUCCACCACCACAGAUGGGUCAUUGAUGGCUACUGGAGUCCACUGAUGUCCUCUGAUAUCUUUUUUUUGUUGUUGUUCUUUUUUUCGGAGCUGGGGACCGAACCCAGGACCUUGCGCUUCCUAGGCACACAGAGAACUGGUUUCACGGUCGCUGUUCUCAGUGCUGGUUGCUGCACGCCAGAUCUCCUCUGCGGGCUGAGCAGACGGCUCGGCAGUUACCUGCACAAACUGCUCUUGCAGAGGACCCGAGGACUUUGAAAAGGACUCAGUUGGACUGUUCUGAUGGUCUCUUCACUUUAAGACAGGGUGUCAAGUCACACCCAGAAAUUACUGAUACAGUCCUCUUAGCCCGCUUGCACUAGGGAUCCCUGUCUGCAACUUCCUGGCUGAAAUGACAGGUGCUGACUGGAUUGGACGUCUGAUGCCGUGGUUAGUGUCUUUCAUGCUCACGGGUAACAGACUCUGAACCCGCUCCUUCCUGCUGAGCAGUUCUGAUGCUGGGCAGUCUGGUGGGAAGGAACACAAAGCAGAUGCUUAGCCAAUCAGGACGCUGCACUCAUUUGCCCACAGUAAGGAGUGGGCUGGAGGUGAGUGUGUGAUCUAAACAGGGCCAAGCAGAAUCCUUCCUUGGAUCUUCUAUGCAGAAGCAGGUCUGAGGAGCUCGGGAGGUGGUGGUAACUCAACCAGCUUCAACACCUGCUGUGAGAACUGGGAAACCCUGGUCUUAGUCAUCGUUCUCUUGCUGGAUAGAGACACCAUGACCACACUAACUCUUAUAAAAGAACUAAUUGGGAUUGGCUUAUAGUUUCAGAGGGUUGGUCCAUUUUCAUCAUGGUGGGGAGCAUGGCUAUACACAGGUAGACGCGCUGUGGGAGAAGGAGCUGAGAAUUCUACAUUGGGAUCUACGGGCAGCAGGUUAAGGGAGAGACACUGGGCCUGGCUUCGCCUUUCGAAAAUCUCAAAUCCAGUGAUACACUUUCUCCACCAAGGCCACAACCCCUGAUCCUUUCAAAUAGUGUCACUACUCCCUGGUGACCAAGCAUUCAAAUCUAUGAGCCUAUGGGGGCUCAUCCUUAUUCAAACCACCAAAACCCCCUUCACCAGGAGGAAGGGAAAAGACCUCAGGCGGCUCAGUUGGCAAAGGCUGACUGACUUUUACAACAGCCCUAGCUGGUGUUAUUUCCCUCAGCUCUCCCUUUUAAUAAGAAGGCACUAAGAAAAACCUGAGAAGCCACUGACGGCUUGCUGCCAGCCGGCAGAGAAAGGGUUAAGCCGAGGCAGUAGUCUCUAGAAGCCUUGUCAUAACGUUAUAUUACCCUUCCACAGAUGGCACAGUCAUGGAGGCUCCAACAGCCUCUCGAUGGUACCCUUCACCUGUCAGGUGAACGACCACCACCGUUUUGAGCCAUGACUGCUCUCUGGGGUGAGCAUUUUGCCGGAGGGUUAAAGAGUGGGUGUGUUCUCAGCUCACAGAUGAACACUGGCAAAGCCCACCUGAUGGCCACAGUAUACAUCGUGCUGAAGGUGGGCAGGCUCUUUCAGAAGCCUGAGGCUUCAGACCCAAGAGGCCUGGCAGAAAAAUGCCUCGGCUCUGGAGGGCAUGUGGGAAUAGCACGCCUCAGGGGAUGGUGGGCAGCACUUUUUCCAUUAAGUUGUCUCUCCUCCUUUAAUUACCUUCCUCUGGGAGGCUGGAAAGGUCAGGCAGCAGGGACUGCAUCCCCCUCGCACACCCCCUACCCCAGCACAGGACCUCAGCUCAGGCUUCUCGGCUCGGAGAUGAAAUUUAUCUUUCUUCCUCUUCUCAGAGAAGGAUGAGCUCACUAGUGACAAGAGUGGCCUUCUUUCCUUCCUUUUCCCCAAAUACUGAGAGAAGUGGGAGGCCAGCCUGCAAAUGUCACAGAAGCCUAUAAAAUGCUGAGCUCAGACGGAUGCCAGGCAUAGCUGGGGUUGCUGGGCUGAUGAGAUGGGCGACUCCAUCAUCUGCUAAGAAUCCAUUGUUCUGCAGCGGCUUGGACACAAUGGUACACUGUAGCUGUCUUCAGACGCACCAGAAGAAGGCAUCAGAUCUCAUUACAGAUAGUUGUGAGCCACCAUGUGGUUGCUGGGAUUUGAACUCAGGACCUCUGGAAGAGCAGUCAGUGCUCUUAACCAUUGAGCCAUCUCUCCAGCUCCGGGAGUGGUACUAUUAGGCGUGGCCUUAUUUGAAGAGGUGUGGCUUCAUUGGAAGAAGUGUGCUUCUGUGUGUGGGGUUUGAGGUCUCCUAUGCCCAGGUUCUGUGCAGCAUGUAAGAGAUCUUUCUCCUGGCUGCCUUUGGAUCAAGAUGUGGAACUCUCAGCUCUUCCUGCAGCACCAUGACUGCCUGGAUGCUGCCACACUUUCCACCAUGGUGAUACUGGACUAAACCUCUGAACUGUAAGCCAGCCCCAAUUAAAUGUUUGCCUUUAUAAGAGUUGCCUUGGUCAUGGUGUCUCUUCACAGCAACGAAACCCUAAGACAGGAUCCAUGGCCAGUUAAGGGAGAGACUGGAUUCGAUGUC